UGGGGAAUUUUGGACAAUGGGCGAAAGCCUGAUCCAGCAAUGCCGCGUGUGUGAAGAAGGCCUUCGGGUUGUAAAGCACUUUUGUCCGGAAAGAAAAUCCUUGGCUCUAAUACAGUCGGGGGAUGACGGUACCGGAAGAAUAAGCACCGGCUAACUACGUGCCAGCAGCCGCGGUAAUACGUAGGGUGCAAGCGUUAAUCGGAAUUACUGGGCGUAAAGCGUGCGCAGGCGGUUUGCUAAGACCGAUGUGAAAUCCCCGGGCUCAACCUGGGAACUGCAUUGGUGACUGGCAGGCUAGAGUAUGGCAGAGGGGGGUAGAAUUCCACGUGUAGCAGUGAAAUGCGUAGAGAUGUGGAGGAAUACCGAUGGCGAAAGGCAGCCCCCUGGGCCAAAUACUGACGCUCAUGCACGAAAAGCGUGGGGAGCAAAACAGGAUUAGAUACCCUGGUAGUCCACGCCCUAAAACGAAUGUCAAACUAGUUGUUGGGGAUUCAUUUCCUUAGU
rnacentral:rRNA from 1 species